CCUACGGGUGGCAGCAGUGAGGAAUAUUGGUCAAUGGGCGGAAGCCUGAACCAGCCAAGUAGCGUGCAGGAUGACGGCCCUACGGGUUGUAAACUGCUUUUAUACGGGAAUAACGCGCCUUACGUGUAGGGAUUUGCAUGUACCGUAUGAAUAAGGAUCGGCUAAUUCCGUGCCAGCAGCCGCGGUAAUACGGAGGUUCCGGGCGUUAUCCGGAUUUAUUGGGUUUAAAGGGAGCGUAGGCCGCAUGUCAAGCGUGCUGUGAAAUGUUCGGGCUCAACCCGGGCCUGGCAGCGCGAACUGGCAGACGUGAGUCCGCUGGAAGCAGGCGGAAUGCGUCGUGUAGCGGUGAAAUGCUUAGAUAUGACGAAGAACCCCGAUUGCGAAGGCAGCUUGCUACAGCAUAACUGACACUGAUGCUCGAAAGCGCGGGUAUCGAACAGGAUGAGAUACCCCAGUAGUC
rnacentral:rRNA from 1 species